rnacentral:rRNA from 1 species
AGAGUUUGAUCAUGGCUCAGAUUGAACGCUGGCGGCAGGCUUAACACAUGCAAGUCGAGCGGGGGAAGGUAGCUUGCUACCGGACCUAGCGGCGGACGGGUGAGUAAUGCUUAGGAAUCUGCCUAUUAGUGGGGGACAACAUCUCGAAAGGGAUGCUAAUACCGCAUACGUCCUACGGGAGAAAGCAGGGGAUCUUCGGACCUUGCGCUAAUAGAUGAGCCUAAGUCGGAUUAGCUAGUUGGUGGGGUAAAGGCCUACCAAGGCGACGAUCUGUAGCGGGUCUGAGAGGAUGAUCCGCCACACUGGGACUGAGACACGGCCCAGACUCCUACGGGAGGCAGCAGUGGGGAAUAUUGGACAAUGGGGGGAACCCUGAUCCAGCCAUGCCGCGUGUGUGAAGAAGGCCUUAUGGUUGUAAAGCACUUUAAGCGAGGAGGAGGCUACUUUAGUUAAUACCUAGAGAUAGUGGACGUUACUCGCAGAAUAAGCACCGGCUAACUCUGUGCCAGCAGCCGCGGUAAUACAGAGGGUGCGAGCGUUAAUCGGAUUUACUGGGCGUAAAGCGUGCGUAGGCGGCUUAUUAAGUCGGAUGUGAAAUCCCCGAGCUUAACUUGGGAAUUGCAUUCGAUACUGGUGAGCUAGAGUAUGGGAGAGGAUGGUAGAAUUCCAGGUGUAGCGGUGAAAUGCGUAGAGAUCUGGAGGAAUACCGAUGGCGAAGGCAGCCAUCUGGCCUAAUACUGACGCUGAGGUACGAAAGCAUGGGGAGCAAACAGGAUUAGAUACCCUGGUAGUCCAUGCCGUAAACGAUGUCUACUAGCCGUUGGGGCCUUUGAGGCUUUAGUGGCGCAGCUAACGCGAUAAGUAGACCGCCUGGGGAGUACGGUCGCAAGACUAAAACUCAAAUGAAUUGACGGGGGCCCGCACAAGCGGUGGAGCAUGUGGUUUAAUUCGAUGCAACGCGAAGAACCUUACCUGGCCUUGACAUACUAGAAACUUUCCAGAGAUGGAUUGGUGCCUUCGGGAAUCUAG